rnacentral:tRNA from 1 species
GCCUUUUUAAUAUAAUAAGUAUAGUUGGCUUCCAACCAACCAGUCUAAAUUUCUUAGAAAAGGCA